ensembl:snRNA U1 U1 spliceosomal RNA
ACCUGGCAGAGGAGAUACUGUACCACGAUCACUAAGGUGGUUUUUCCCAGGGUGAGGUUCAUCCAUUGCACUCCGGAAGUGUUGACCCCUGCGAUUUCUCCAAAUGCUGGAAACUCAACUGCAGAAUUUGUGGUAGCGAGGGAACAUGUCUUUGGCUUGAGAUAUCGCUCUUA